CUGCGGAGGGAUCAUUACCGAGUUUACAACUCCCAAACCCAAUGUGAACCAUACCAAACUGUUGCCUCGGCGGGGUCACGCCCCGGGUGCGUCGCAGCCCCGGAACCAGGCGCCCGCCGGAGGGACCAACCAAACUCUUUCUGUAGUCCCCUCGCGGACGUUAUUUCUUACAGCUCUGAGCAAAAAUUCAAAAUGAAUCAAAACUUUCAACAACGGAUCUCUUGGUUCUGGCAUCGAUGAAGAACGCAGCGAAAUGCGAUAAGUAAUGUGAAUUGCAGAAUUCAGUGAAUCAUCGAAUCUUUGAACGCACAUUGCGCCCGCCAGUAUUCUGGCGGGCAUGCCUGUCCGAGCGUCAUUUCAACCCUCGAACCCCUCCGGGGGGUCGGCGUUGGGGAUCGGGAACCCCUAAGACGGGAUCCCGGCCCCGAAAUACAGUGGCGGUCUCGCCGCAGCCUCUCCUGCGCAGUAGUUUGCACAACUCGCACCGGGAGCGCGGCGCGUCCACGUCCGUAAAACACCCAACUUCUGAAAUGUUGACCUCGGAUCAGGUAGGAAUACCCGCUGAACUUAAGCAUAUCAAUAAGCGGAGGA
rnacentral:rRNA from 1 species